AACAAUACAGAUGAAUCAGAUAGUAGAUAAUGCUUUAAUAU
rnacentral:guide_RNA from 1 species